GGUGAGUUGGAGGCCUGCCUGGAUAGCUUCAUGAAUACCAGCUAGUCAGAGCUAGAAAACAAGUCCUGUAAAUAUGAAGAAAUAAAUGAAUAAACAAAUAGGGAAAGGAAAUAAAAGAAAAAGAAACACACAUCCCGAAAUUUGACCCCAUGUCUCUGAACUGUGCAAAAAGCCCAUACGAGGUCUUUCCAGGGACUUUAGACCACCCGCAACACUAGCUUUUCUCUUUUGCUUAUUUAUUACAGUCAGGGUUGACAAAAAGAGAAUGGUUUUCUGUGGGAAGAAACUCCCUCCACAUAAGAGAUUUUAAAUUUCACAUGCUGAAAUUGUAUAACGAAACCCACUGUUAUUCCUCUUAUAGUCAGACUUGAGCUGACACUCACCACUGUCUAGAUUCUUCCUUCUUAUCAGACAGAAUCUGCCCAAUCUGACCUCUAUUUAUCCUUCAAAUGACUGAGAAGUGUAGGCAUGGAACAGGAUCAAAAGACUAGCCCAUUUCCAAGGCUCAGAUCCAUCUGCUGUGUGACUACACUCGCUGUAAGAGGUUUCCAGCAGGAACAAAUUUUUGGGUUCCAGUAAUACUGGACUGGUUGUUAACUUCCCAAAUGCUCAGUUGUGGUCGAAGAUGAGGAAUAUCUUAAAAUUCACACUGAAGUUUCGGCAUUUGCUAAAUGGUGCCACAUCCUGACUUUCAGGAAGAAAUACCCAAGCACCAAAAUACACUGGCCAUGGCUGUCUACAACCCACAACUGGCUUCCCUGGUGGUCUUGUACUUGAUGUAACCAUAUCAUUUAUCUAGCAAAUCUAGAUAAAUCUAAGAGAAAGGAGGUAAUCAGAAAGGACAGGGCGGCUACAGAACGUCUAGGAAAGGGUCAAGGACAGGGAAUCUUACUAGUUUUUUUGUCUUUCUUGUUUUUUAUAUAUACUCAGGAAACCAUGAGCAUCACUAUAUAGAAUAUAUCCAAUGUUUGAGAACACCUAGUUAUAACAUCAACAAAGCAAAAUCGAGACCAUAUAAUAUUACUAUGUAUAUACUACAUAUAUCUUUCAAUAGCUCAGUAGAGCAGAAUAUAUAGACAGUAUAUACACUAUUGCAGAGUAUAUGAGUAUAUAUACAGUAAAUAUGUACCUAUUUCUGAGGCUUUCGAUAGUUCAGUUGGUAGAGCGGAGGACUGUAGAGUAUUAACGUUGGUGAUCCUUAGGUCGCUGGUUCGAGUCCGGCUCGAAGGAAGGGAGUGUUUUGAUGGGUCGUUGUAUUCUGUUUUUAAACCAGGAAUUAGAUAUAUGUAACAGCCACUGGGUCCCCUUGGUCUUGACAUUUAGCAAAAAAUUUAUGAGACCAGGCCAAUCUUACCCCAAAGCAAAACGUAAUUAUCAGUUCAGUCCCUUUGCAUAGUGUGUCCCCACCACACUCUGCCCCACCUGUGACGGUUCUACACAUAGCUAGAAUAUGUGGUCGUUUUAUCUGGGACGGUAGUAUUGAGAAAAGGUCGGGGUAAGGUUAUAAAAGAGAGACUGGUCACUGUUUCCCUCUUUUCCUCCCCACUACCAGCAGAGUCUAUUGAGGAGGAAUCUCUGAAAAUGACAGCUGAUGGGUGUAGAGACCCACGCCCGGAAUCUCAGCAACUGAAGUGGUUGAAGCAGGAGCAUCUGGGCAGAGCUUGUAAGCAUCUCUAGCUUCUGACUUUGUUGCUGGUGUUAUGGUUUUUGGUUUUCUUUCUCAGAGGCUUUCUGGUGCACCUAGACUGUGCCAGCUCCUUAUAGCCCUCCUUCAGCUCUCCAGCCUUUUGCCUAUGCAGUCUCUGCUCCUAGCCUUUCAUAACUAAUAAACUUUAAAAUUUAUAAACUCCAACAAAUGAAAGUCUUCCUGUAUGGCUUCCGAUGCUUUCCCAUGGUGCUCAUUUUUCUGUUUUAGGAACCAGGAAGCUGAGCGGCACCAUAGGUGUUGCUAACCAAGCAUAGCAGCAUAAUAAAAAUGGAGUGAUUAAAUGUAUUAAGUUUGAAGUAUAUGUUAUGUUAUGUUUAUUUGAUCCAGUAUAAUUGUGCAAUAUAACAUGGGCCAGGACAUUCCUAAAUACAUGCCGUGAUUAGUUUUUCUCAACUUGACACAAGCUAGUCUUUCGGAAGAGGAAACCGCCAUUGUGAAAAAUGCCUCUAUCAGAUUUGCCUACAGGCAAGUCUGUAGAGCAUUUACAUAAGUAAUGAUUGGCGUGGAAUGGCUCAGCCCACUGUAGGUGAUGCCACCCUUGGGCAAAUGGUUCUGGGUUGUAUAAGAAGCAGGGUGAUCAGACCAUAGUGAGCAAACUUUUAAGCAGCACCCCUCCAUGUUAUUUGCUUCGCUUCCUGCCCUCAAGUGCUGGCCUUGCUUGGAUUUCUGCCCAGGCUUCCCUGAUGAUGGACGGUGAUCAAGACGGUUAAGUUAAAUAAACCCUUUCCUCCCC
rnacentral:lncRNA from 1 species